rnacentral:rRNA from 1 species
UGGGGAAUUUUGGACAAUGGGCGAAAGCCUGAUCCAGCAAUGCCGCGUGUGUGAAGAAGGCCUUCGGGUUGUAAAGCACUUUUGUCCGGAAAGGAAUGGCUCUGGUUAAUACCUGGGGUCGAUGACGGUACCGGAAGAAUAAGGACCGGCUAACUACGUGCCAGCAGCCGCGGUAAUACGUAGGGUCCAAGCGUUAAUCGGAAUUACUGGGCGUAAAGCGUGCGCAGGCGGUUGUGCAAGACCGAUGUGAAAUCCCCGAGCUUAACUUGGGAAUUGCAUUGGUGACUGCACGGCUAGAGUGUGUCAGAGGGGGGUAGAAUUCCACGUGUAGCAGUGAAAUGCGUAGAGAUGUGGAGGAAUACCGAUGGCGAAGGCAGCCCCCUGGGAUAACACUGACGCUCAUGCACGAAAGCGUGGGGAGCAAACAGGAUUAGAUACCCUGGUAGUCCACGCCCUAAACGAUGUCAACUAGUUGUUGGGGAUUCAUUUCCUUAGUAACGUAGCUAACGCGUGAAGUUGACCG